rnacentral:rRNA from 1 species
CUUGGUCAUUUAGAGGAAGUAAAAGUCGUAACAAGGUUUCCGUAGGUGAACCUGCGGAAGGAUCAUUCAUAAUAAAGUGUUUUAUGGCACUUUUUUAAAAAAUCCAUAUCCACCUUGUGUGCAAUGUUUUUUAGAUCUAGCCAAAAUGAUAUUUUGGUUAGGUUUUAUUAUAUUACAUCAACUCUUAUUUAACUUGAUUUGUCUGAAAAAUAUUAUGAAUUUUUUAACUUAAUUCAAAAUACAACUUUCAACAACGGAUCUCUUGGCUCUCGCAUCGAUGAAGAACGCAGCGAAAUGCGAUACGCAAUGUGAAUUGCAGAAUUCAGUGAAUCAUCGAAUCUUUGAACGCAUAUUGCGCUCUCUGGUAUUCCGGAGAGCAUGCUUGUUUGAGUAUCAGUAAACACCCUCAGAGCUUUUUUUUUUCCUUGAUUUUCGAAUCUUGGGGCUCUGGAUUUGAGUGAUCCCAACGUGGUCUUUUUCGAAAGGACAUGGCGGGCCACUUGAAAUACAGGUGCAGCUGAACUUUCUUCUGAGCUAAAAGCAUAUUUAUUUAGUCCUGUCAGCACAUGUGCUGCCGGAUUAUUACUUCUGCUGCAGCUUACAUAAAGGUUGACUGUUCAAAUGCUGACUGAUACAGAAUUUUUAGCACAGAAAGCGCAAGCGGAUCUGUGCUGUCAAACUCGAUCUCAAAUCAAGUAAGACUACCCGCUGAACUUAAGCAUAUCAAUAAGCGGAGGA